rnacentral:rRNA from 1 species
AACGAACGCUGGCGGCAUGCCUAACACAUGCAAGUCGAACGAGACCUUCGGGUCUAGUGGCGCACGGGUGCGUAACGCGUGGGAACCUGCCCUUAGGUUCGGAAUAACUCCCCGACAGGGGUGCUAAUACCGGAUAAUGUCUUCGGACCAAAGAUUUAUCGCCUUUGGAUGGGCCCGCGUUGGAUUAGCUAGUUGGUAGGGUAAAAGCCUACCAAGGCGACGAUCCAUAGCUGGUCUGAGAGGAUGAUCAGCCACACUGGGACUGAGACACGGCCCAGACUCCUACGGGAGGCAGCAGUGGGGAAUAUUGGACAAUGGGCGAAAGCCUGAUCCAGCAAUGCCGCGUGAGUGAUGAAGGCCUUAGGGUUGUAAAGCUCUUUUACCCGGGAUGAUAAUGACAGUACUGGGAGAAUAAGCUCCGGCUAACUCCGUG